GAUUACCUUAGUAACGGCGAGUGAAGCGGUAACAGCUCAAAUUUGAAAUCUGGGUCUUUUAGGCUCCGAGUUGUAAUUUGUAGAAGAUGCUUUGGGUGCGGCCCCGGUCUAAGUUCCUUGGAACAGGACGUCAUAGAGGGUGAGAAUCCCGUAUGUGAUCGGUGGCUUGCGCCCGUGUAAAGCUCUUUCGACGAGUCGGGUUGUUUGGGAAUGCAGCUCUAAAUGGGUGGUAAAUUUCAUCUAAAGCUAAAUAUUGGCCAGAGACCGAUAGCGCACAAGUAGAGUGAUCGAAAGAUGAAAAGCACUUUGGAAAGAGAGUUAAACAGUACGUGAAAUUGUUGAAAGGGAAGCGCUUGCAACCAGACUUGCGCGGGGUUGAUCAUCCGGGGUUCUCCCCGGUGCACUCGGCCUCGCUCAGGCCAGCAUCGGUUUUGGUGGUUGGAUAAAGGCCUUGGGAAUGUGACUUCUUUCGGGGAGUGUUAUAGCCCUCGGUGCAAUGCAGCCUACCGGGACCGAGGACCGCGCUUCGGCUAGGAUGCUGGCGUAAUGGUUGUAAGCGACCCGUCUUGAAACACGGACCAAGGAGUCUAACAUCUAUGCGAGUGUUUGGGUGUCAAACCCAUACGCGUAAUGAAAGUGAACGGAGGUGAGAACCCUUAAGGGUGCAUCAUCGACCGAUCCUGAUGUCUUCGGAUGGAUUUGAGUAAGAGCAUAGCUGUUGGGACCCGAAAGAUGGUGAACUAUGCCUGAAUAGGGUGAAGCCAGAGGAAACUCUGGUGGAGGCUCGCAGCGGUUCUGACGUGCAAAUCGAUCGUCAAAUUUGGGCAUAGGGGCGAAAGACUAAUCGAACCAUCUAGUAGCUGGUC
rnacentral:rRNA from 1 species